GUCGGUUAUGGUGACAUGACACCAAUCGGUGUUUGGGGGAAAAUUGUUGGCUCACUAUGUGCAAUUGCUGGCGUAUUAACAAUUUCUCUUCCCGUGCCUGUCAUUGUUAGUAAU
rfam:Clunio marinus genome assembly, contig: CLTMA_superscaffold_43